rnacentral:lncRNA from 1 species
UUCUCCAAAAUUCAACCUGCUGAAUCUGAACGAAGCCUGGAUCGCGAUCAACACUUGAUCUUUCUCUUUGAUCUUCUUUUUUUUCUCUUCUCUAGAGUUUCUCCUUUCUAUGUGCUACUACCAAAUGCUAGAAACUAGUAAGGAAGAGGCAUCCAAACUCCUCUGGAUGUGAAACUCUUUGGGAUGCGCAUCCCAAGAAAGGGAUGUAUAGAACACCCAAGAGAAGAGAAAGGGAG